rnacentral:tRNA from 1 species
GUUAAUGUAGCUUAUACAAAGCAAGGCACUGAAAAUGCCUAGAUGAGUAAUCAUACUCCAUAAACA